UCGACGCGGUCGGUUUCGUCCUGCUGGUUCGAUCCUGGGCGGGCACACUCGGUGUAAAGUGGUAGUUUUUUUUUGUGUUUUUGCUCUCUCAUGUGCCAAACUGGAUUUGUUCGAGUUGUGGAGUAUUUGUUGGCAGAAUCCGUGGAUUAACAACCACCACCAGAGCAGCAUCCCGGAAGGACCCCCGCAAUCCCAAAAGAAAGGAUGAAAUUGCGCGCCAACAACAGCAGCAACAACAACAACACCAGUUGCAGCAUGGUCCACGCGGACCGGGCCUCGAUCCGGUCGGUCAGCUCCGAGGACGUCAGCUCGCUGGCCAUGGGCCAUGAUGGUGGGGGUGGUGGUGGCGGGGGUUGCUGCAGUGCCGAGGCCAAGAAUCCGGCGUUUAAGCGUGGAAGGAGGAUCCAGCUGAUGCAGAUGAUUGUGCUGCCGUUUAUUCCGAUCUUGGCGUUGAUCGUGCAGACUUCGUACGAGAUGAUCGAUAUUGUGAGCUAUAGGAUGGAGGCGACGGAGAUUGAGAGUCAGGUCACAAUGGCGACGGAUUUGGGGAAGGUCGUGACUCGGUUACAGCAGGAACGGUCCGAGGUGGCGUUCUUCAUCUACACGAAUGGAAGUACGUUGAGGAGGAAUUUGACGAAGGGAUUUCUGGAGACGGAUCGUGCGCUGGAGAACAUGUCUUCGUGGCCGGAUUUGACGUUUAUGGUGGUGAUUGAUGGGCCGGGAUCGAAGGCCACGUGGUUGAACAUGAGCGAAUUUCGGGAGGAGUUGGUCGAGUUUCGGGACAAUAUCUGCUCGGAGAACAGCACCGUCCGGGACGUUCUGCACUGGUACACGACGGUCAACAUGGCGCUGCUGGAACAUCUGACGAACCAGAUCAAGGACGCCAACAAGAGCGGAGUCUGGCGGUUCCUCGUCAGCUUCAAGAACAUGCUGAAGAGCAUCGAAAGCAUCGACAUCUCAUCGGUCUACGGCAUCAACUACUUCGGUCGUGGCUUUCUCCGGACGGAACCCUACGUCAGAUACAUCCAGCACGACAUUGUGGGGAAGGAACUGCUCAACAGCUCGCUGAACUACAUCCCAAAGCUGAAGGCAAUGUACAAAAAUCUCACGACGGGGAUGCCCGAUUACGGCCGGAUUCGCCAGUGGAGUGACACGAUCCGACGCAACGAAAUCAUCUCGGCGAACGUCACCACCGCCCGAGAGUACUACGAAACAAUGGCCAUGUACAUCGACGAACUGCGCAAGCUCCAGGACAAGGUCCGGUGGACCAUCCGAGACGAAGUCCAGAAGGUCCUAACCAAGGCGAAUCGCAUGGAAACGUUCGGCAUCGCCAUCCUCAUCGUGGUGCUCAUAGUCUCGCCCAUCAUAAUCCUCCUGGUGCGCAAAGCCGUCGCCACCAUCCAGAUGUACGCGGUCAAUCUGGCCCACAAGGCACGCGAGCUGAAGCGUGAAAAGCGCAAAUCGGACUCGCUGCUGUUCCAGAUGCUACCGCCGACGGUGGCCACCCAGCUGAAGCAGGCCCAAACGGUGCCGGCGGAGUACUACUCGGCGGUGACGAUCUUCUUCAGCGAUAUCGUCGGCUUCACCGAGAUUGCGGCCGAGUGCACGCCGUUGGAGGUCGUUUCCUUCCUGAACGCCAUCUACCGGAUGUUUGACGAGCGCAUCGAGUGCUACGACGUGUACAAAAUCGAAACCAUCGGCGACUCGUACAUGGUGGCGUCGGGUCUGCCGGUGAAAAUGGAAACAAACACGUGGCCGAAAUUGCGACGAUGGCGCUGGACCUGCUGGACGCGUCCGGUUGUUUCAGCAUUCCGCACAACGCCAACGAACCGGUUCAGAUACGAGUAGGGAUUCACACGGGGCCGGUGGUGGCCGGAAUCGUUGGAACCAAAAUGCCACGGUACUGCCUAUUUGGCGACACGGUUAAUACUGCUUCCCGGAUGGAGUCGACCGGUGAAGCUCUGAAAAUUCACAUUUCGGCCGAAAUGAACGAAGCACUGGUCCGAGUUGGCGGGUUUAAAACCGAGCACCGGGGUUUGAUUGACGUCAAGGGAAAGGGCCUAAUGGACACUUACUGGUUAACCUGCAAGGACGGAGCGUCC
rnacentral:misc_RNA from 1 species